rnacentral:rRNA from 1 species
UACGGGGGGGGGCAAGCGUUGUUCGGAAUUACUGGGCGUAAAGGGCUCGUAGGCGGCCAACUAAGUCGGAUGUGAAAUCCCCAGGCUCAACCUGGGAACUGCGUCGGAUACUGGAUGGCUUGAAUUCGGGAGAGGGAUGCAGAAUUCCAGGUGUAGCGGUGAAAUGCGUAGAUAUCUGGAGGAAUACCGGUGGCGAAGGCGGCAUCCUGGACCGACAUUGACGCUGAUGAGCGAAAGCUAGGGGAGCAAACGGG